UUUUUUUUACAUGUUGUGCCGUAUCUCAAAAACAAUUUAUGAUUAUUGCUUAAAACUUUACACACUUCUUUGUUAUAUUAAUUCUAAGAUCUGUAUACUUUUUGGUGAUGAUUCAAAACGUUAUUUUGGAGUUAUUGAGUAUUUUGUUAAAUAGGGGAGGGUUUUUUUUACAUGUUGCGCCGUAUCUCAAAAAUAAUUUGUGAUUAUUGCUUAAAACUUUACACACUUCUUUGUUAUAUUAAUUAUAUUAAUCUAAAGAUCUGUAUACUUUUUGGUUUUGAUUCAAAAUUUUAUUUUAGUGAUAUUUAGUUUUUUGUAAAAAAAAAAACAGGGUUGGGGGUUUCACAUGUCCCGCCGUGUCUCAAAAACAGUAUAUGGUUAUUGCUUAAAACUUUCUCAGAAACUAUUUAUGAUUAUUGCAUAAAACUUCCACACAAGACGUCGGGCGUAUCAUGCGCUCAUGGCGCAGCUGUUUAUUUCAAUUUAAGUUCAAAAGUGCAUUUUAGUGUUUAGUGUAGCAACCAUUUCUCUGAACUAUUAUUCAUUAUUGUUUAGUGACCAAAAGAGGCCCACCUCUAUGUGCGGAAUUUUCUUUCUGCAUAGAGGACUCAUCAUUUUGAACUCAUCAGGGUUCCUGUACUCAACCGACUUGUUGGGUACUGAGACAUGACUGUGACACCAUCUGAACAAAAACUGUGAAUAAAAUCAGAAGCAAUUUUAAAACAACACAUGGUGUUGGGGCUAAGAAUACCACCAGCUUUUCAUUGAAAGUAAUGACAAGACAGAAACAUGCGUCCAACGGGUAUAUCCAAUACACUACAAUUACUUAAACAACUUUGAAAAUCGUACAUAAGUGUUUUUUAUUUUUUUUAUUUAGUAUAGCUUGCUUUCCGUGAAGAUAUUUUUAUUGUGG
rnacentral:lncRNA from 1 species